UGCAUGCUUUGGAAUAUCCCUUUUG
rnacentral:piRNA from 1 species